UUCAUCUGAGAAUCUAAUGAUCGUUGGUUUUCAUUCUUCGCCAUUGAUGAUUUAGCUUAAACUUCACGCUGUUGGAAUUGGUUCAUAUGAUAUGUUUCUGUGUAUACACAUGGCUAUGUUUGGAACAUGUUAGACGCGUUCCGUUCACUGUUGAUUAUAUGGUUGUUUUUGUCUGCCGAGAAAACAUGGGGGAAAAAAAAAAGGAAUUGUGGAGAUCACAUAUAAUAAUGGUGAAGGCUGUUGUUGUUCUUAACAGCAGUGAAGGUGUCAGGGGCACUGUCUACUUUACCCAAGAAGAAGACGGUCCAACUACAGUUACCGGAAGCCUUUCUGGCCUUCAACCCGGACUUCAUGGUUUCCAUGUCCAUGCUCUUGGUGAUACAACAAAUGGUUGCAUGUCAACUGGACCACAUUUUAAUCCUGUUGGCAAAGAACAUGGUGCUCCUGAGGAUGAGAAUCGCCAUGCUGGUGAUCUUGGUAACGUUGUAGUUGGUGAAGACGGAACUGCAAGUUUCACGGUCGUUGACAAACAGAUCCCUCUCUCUGGACCACAUUCCAUAAUUGGCAGGGCUGUUGUUGUCCAUGCUGACCUCGAUGAUCUGGGAAAGGGUAAUGCUAAGUGAAUGUGGCCAUGAACUGAGCAAAAGCACUGGAAAUGCUGGCGGAAGGAUUGCCUGCGGAAUAAUUGGCCUUCAGGGUUGAUUAGCCACUCACGAGUUGCAUUUUACUUUGAAAAUCUUGCAAUCGAAUCAUAACCCUGUAACUCUCUGAAAAUCAAGUUGAUAGCAAAAGGCUUGGUUGGUGAUAAUAAAGGAUUGCUUGGCAAUGGGAUUGAUAAACUUAUGGUUUGGUUUUGUAAUGCUUGUUAUCUUCCUUUUCCCAGUAGUGAAGUGAGUUUUUCACCUGGAACAAAUUUCUA